rnacentral:rRNA from 1 species
UACAGAGGUCUCAAGCGUUGUUCGGAUUCAUUGGGCGUAAAGGGUGUGUAGGUGGCGCCGUAAGUCGGGUGUGAAAUUUCGGAGCUUAACUCCGAAACUGCAUUCGAUACUGCGGUGCUUGAGGACUGGAGAGGAGACUGGAAUUCAUGGUGUAGCAGUGAAAUGCGUAGAGAUCAUGAGGAAGACCAGUGGCGAAGGCGGAUCUCUGGACAGUUCCUGACGCUGAGGCACGAAGGCCAGGGGAGCAAACGGG